AUAGUUAUCAAACGAGUAAUGGUCAUAUGGUCAUAUAUAUAUGUGCAAAUCGCUAUGCAUAACUCCUCAAAGAUACACAGAAUGUAUCGUAAAAUGCUACAAAGUACGAUACUUAAGCAAAAUAAAACAUGAAAUAAAGUAAAACAAUCACAGAAUAAUGUUACGAUUUUCGGUACAAGCUAUACUGAGCUGAUUAUUAUAAGGGAAAGUGUUGUCUGUCGUAUUCACUUGGAUACGGUUGAACCAUGUAAACAAUACUCUUUGUGUGUAAAAUUUGGGAUAUUUUCUGUGUUUGAAGAGUUCUCGCUGUGCGCUGGUCGGCCAUCUUGAAAAAUAAAUUGUGAAGGUCGUAUUUCCAGCUUUCCUGCGAGACGGCAGUUCAGAUGCAGUCGUCCUGUGUGUCAGAAAGCUGGUGAUCAAAAUGGUUGAAGGCAGUACCCAAGAAAGUACAUUUACAAAGUUGUGAGGAGUAACCUAGCCUAUAUAACCUGAAGCUCACCCAAUAUGCAGUGUGUUCUGCUU